AAUUCAUGCUAGGCAAUUCCCCGUUUCAUCACAUUCCUAUAUCAUUACAACCAUCUCAGGGCACAGGCCUGUGAGCAAUUGCCCACUGUCGCUCAGUGACCAGAUUUCGAUUUGUGAAGAAUUACGUAUUCUUUCUGGCAGCAUGUGUGGAAUGUCAGCCAUGACGGAAGCAAAGAUUCCUGGGUAACUGGUUUUGACAACAGAUGACUUCCCUUCCAGGGCUAUGUUGAGAGUCAUUCGUAGGAUUUACUGUGGACUUGCUUUCGGUAGAGAAACAACCAAAAAAGCUGGAAAGCAAAACUGCAGACUUUAAUUGAUUAAAUUAGUAGAUUAGAUUAAUCAACUAAAGUUUUAGUUGAUUAAUUAAUGAAAGUCCAUUUUAAUCAUCAUGGCUGCAAGUUAAAAGCAUUGCUGUUUAUUUUUUUGAAGCUAUUGGUUCUGCAGUAAUAAAGAAUGAAAAAGAAGGUAUUUGAGGUGUCUUACAUUCUAAUAAGGAAUUUUAGCUUUUGCUUAUUAAAUUAUUAGUUAUCUUCCUUCAGAACCUAAAAAAUGCAACUACAGUAUAUUGAGAUGUAUUAAAAUUAAUGGAUCAAGAAUAUAAAAGGAAGAUUAUUAAUUAAAAACUAUUGAAUCUUAAAAAAAUUAUUGAAUAUUAGAGAGUAAUCCAUUAACUUGUAUUUUUAAUGUUAAAGAGCAACUCUUAGCUGUGAUAGUACCUGACUCAUAGUGGACAUGUUGGCCACAAAGGAUUGUGGGAAGCUAUGACCCGGCAUUCUGGGUCAUUUGCUGGCCUUGAAUCAAUACCCCUUUAUGAGUGUGUUUCAGUAAUUUGCUGCUCUAGUGUCUGUGUACGAAGUGCACCCUAGGAGUAAUUGUUCUAGCAGCUGAUCUUCAGCACCUUUAAUCAUCUGGGCCUGAUUCACAUACACACACAUUAAUAUGGAAGCUGCUUACAAGUCCAGUUCCAGCGUGCAAAAAAGAUUGACUAUUAUCUGAAGUUUCUGGUUGGAUAAGGAUUCCAUUUCCUCUGUGUUGUUGCUGAAUAAAUAACACAAGUUGGAGAACUCUACGCUGGUGUUACGGAAGUGUGGUAUACUGAACAUAUAUUGUACUCAAAUACUUAACACUGUUUGGGAAUUUGUUAGCAACUUAGACUCACUCUUUGGUGCUCAAUACCAUGAUUUCCACCCUACUUUUUAAAGCAUACUUGUGGGUACAGUGGAGAUUCUAAUAUGUUUUAGUGACAAUGAGUGUGGAAUGAGUGGUUGGUAGUUACUCUGGAUAACAAAGAUCACAAGAUUAUGAUCUUGUAUGCAUCUUCUCAUCUAAUCUAGGCCAGUAAAUCUCUUACUAUUUUUCAACAAUCCAACACCCCCCCCCCACUUGCAUCUGGCUAUCAUUGCUCUUGUAUGUACAGCCACGAAAGUAAUUAGCUAGCCUGCCUGCAUAUAUCUAAGUUGGCCUAGAAUAUUUUUUUUUUUAAAAUGCUUUUGUAAGAUGCCUUGAUCGCUUGAAGGCACUUCUGACUCGCCACAGGCGACCAGCUGAGCAGCUUUUUACCAGCUUGAGUUAAACCACUCCCCCUCCCCCCGCCCUGAAUAAUGCAUCUUAAUAGAACUGACUCCUUUCUAUACAAGAAAAUUAAGGGAUGUUCUCUCUGCCUCUCUCUUAAUUUCUCAUUUGAAUAACUCUGACUUACAACCAGAUGGAGAGGAAAAGAUAGGCACCUGCUCCAUGAAGGCAAAGGCACACAGUGAACUGCACAAAGGCAGACACAUGUUUCCACGGACACACACAGCACAUGGCUACACAGGCGAGGAAGAGAAAGGCAG